GUAUUAAAGGUCCUGCCUGCCCAGUGAAUUUUUUAACGGCCGCGGUAUUCUAACCGUGCAAAGGUAGCGUAAUCACUUGUCCUCUAAAUAAGGACUAGUAUGAAUGGCUAAAUGAGGACAAACCUGUCUCUUAUAACCAAUCAGUGAAACUGAUCUCCCAGUACAAAAGCUGGGAUACACACAUAAGACGAGAAGACCCUGUGGAGCUUUAAACUAACCACCAAAACAACUAACCGUUUUACCUGGUGUAAAUUUUAAGUUGGGGCGACUUCGGAACAAAACAAAACUUCCGAGCACAGAACCACAAUUUCUAUCCAAGGCCAACAAGCCAAAGAAUAAAACUUGACCCAGUCAUACUGAUCAACGAACCAAGUUACCCCAGGGAUAACAGCGCUAUCUUCUUCAAGAGUCCAUAUCGACAAGAAGGUUUACGACCUCGAUGUUGGAUCAGGACACCCCAAUGGUGCAGCCGCUAUUAAAGGUUCGUUUGUUCAACGAUUAACAGUCCUACGUGAUCUGAGUUCAGACCGGAGCAAUCCAGGUCGGU
rnacentral:rRNA from 1 species